rnacentral:rRNA from 1 species
GACGAACGCUGGCGGCGUGCUUAACACAUGCAAGUCGAACGGAAAGGCCCUGCUUUUGUGGGGUGCUCGAGUGGCGAACGGGUGAGUAACACGUGAGUAACCUGCCCUUGACUUUGGGAUAACUUCAGGAAACUGGGGCUAAUACCGGAUCGAAGCUCCUGCUGCAUGGUGGGGGUUGGAAAGUUUCGGCGGUUGGGGAUGGACUCGCGGCUUAUCAGCUUGUUGGUGGGGUAGUGGCUUACCAAGGCUUUGACGGGUAGCCGGCCUGAGAGGGUGACCGGCCACAUUGGGACUGAGAUACGGACCAGACUCCUACGGGAGGCAGCAGUGGGGAAUAUUGCACAAUGGGCGGAAGCCUGAUGCAGCAACGCCGCGUGCGGGAUGACGGCCUUCGGGUUGUAAACCGCUUUCGCCUGUGACGAAGCGUGAGUGACGGUAAUGGGUAAAGAAGCACCGGCUAACUACGUG